ACGACCCUACUUGAACAGGAUCUGUUCUAUAGGCUCGUACCUCUGUUUCUUUGAUUUCUAAAGAGACAGGCCCUCAAACCUGGUUGAUGAAUUAUGGCCGUGCGAUCUGAGUGUGAUUAACGGUUCCGAAACUUCUCGGAGGCCCCGUACUAUAGAGGAUCGCUAUCUGGUUAGGUCUUGACCUUACCGGAGUGGUCGCAAGGUUGUCUGACAGGCA